CGGGUGAGCAGUCCUGAUGGUUUCGGUGCAGCUGCUCUAGCUUGUAUCGCCACCACGAUGGUGGUCGUCGCCGAGCACUUGCCUAAGGUCAUCAAAAGGCAGGUGUACUACGGAUCCGAAUCGUCCUGUCAGGAAAGCAAUCUGUCACCAGAUCUGGAGCAUGACUCUAGACUCCCACAACACGAGUUCGACUCCGAGUUUUGCUCCACUGAGAAGUACCAAAAGCUGAGUUGUGUGCAUGGGCACACUCCUGCUCGACGUGUAUGCAUGGAGGGAUUCUACAUUGGCAGACGGUUUCUCAGUUGCCCCUUAGAGGGAUAUGAGGCUUGUGCCUUUGUUAACUGGCUGGAUGAAGAACGGCAUGGCAGGGCUCGGAGUGUUAUCACCAAGUUCAUAGAAGAUAAC